rnacentral:lncRNA from 12 species
GCCAGUGAUGGAGCCUGUCAGAGACACUGAGGCAGACCCUUUCCUGGGGGAUGAAGGACUCUUCUAACAGUUGAUGUUAACUCAAGAGCUCCUCAAAAUUUUGCCAAAACUUUCUUCGAACUGCACAGUCAUCUAAGGCUUUUUUUUCUUCCCCUUUCUUUUAUGGCAGGAAUGAGUCUGCCCCAAGGCCUCCCAAUGUUCCCAGCCACCCCCCACUUCUCCCCAUACUCUCCUACAGGUCAUUCCCCCAGAACAUGGCCAGCAAAUCCCAUCUUAUCAUGGCAUCGGCUUCUGUUGGAUCUUUUAUUUCAUCUCCAAUUUAUAAUAGUGAAGCUGAAACCCAGCAUGGUUACAUAACUUGUCCAAGGUCACACCUCUUGGAAGGGCUAGAGCCGGUCACCAGACCCAGGCAUAUCAGAGCACGAACUCAUAACCACUUCCCUGUACAACCUCUCAUUUCAGAGUAAUAUGUACAAAAACUAAAAAGAAAAAUGUGUCCUAGGGUCCAGAAAAUGAAGCAUUUGUUCAUGUGACUCAUUUUCUGUAGAAUAUCUUGUAGGACUGAGAAUUAGGGAGCUAGCUGCACCAUGGGAAUGCUUUAGCGAAGCACCAAUGUCAUUCUGAUUGAAGGUGUCAUGGGGUAGGUGUGUCUGCACGGACCAGCUCGCAGCGGUGGACAGGAAGAGCAGAGAGAGCAAUGAGCCAGCUGCCCGAGUGGAGCCCUCCGAGGCUAUCCUGUCGUUGCUGUUUCCUAUGACCUCCAGAAGUGUAGCAGAGACCACGCCAUACACCUGAUCUCUACAUGGCCCCUUGGCUUGAUUCUGUUGUUUCCUUGCCUCUCAGAUUCUGGGUGGCCUGUUGCUGUGGUGUGGCAGAGAGGGCACAGCCCCAAGGAGAUAGGAGGCUGGACUGUACCACCACCACUUGGCAAGUCAGUGGACCCCUCUUGCUUCACUCCCCUUAUUUGUGCAAAAAAGAUGGGGCCAGAUCAGGAAUUUCCAGCCAAGCUCUCUGGGGCUCCAGUGGCGGUGUGGAGUCUUUAUAUUGGUCAGAAGGUGCUACUUUUGCAGAAGGCACUCAGAGGAGGGAAUCUGCAUCCUGUUCACCCUACAAGCAGGCUCUGCCUCAAGCUCUGUAGCCAGGGCCUGCACUCCAUGGGGACAGCGAGGGAGCCAUCUAUGGAAGUUUGAGCAGGUGAGGUGCCUGGGUUUUGCUCAGUAUGCCCAGAGAAUGGGGGAGAAAGUUAGGUUGGAACCUGGUUUGGAGUGCAGCCAAGAUCAUGGCAGAGGAGAGUCUCGGGAGCUCUGUUGCUUGAACUCUGCAGUAUCCAGGACCUCCAAGUGAGCAUCACCAGAGGCCCGAGACGUUUUUACGAGGUAUUUAUUUAUUUAUUUAUUUAUUUAUUUAUUUAUUUAUUUAUUUAUUUUAGAUAUUUUCUUAAUGAUUUUUUUAAAAAAUAGUUUUAAUUUAAAUUCCAGUUCAUUACCAUACAGUGUAAUACUAGUUUCAGGUAUACAAUUGAGUUAUUCAACACGCCCAUACAACACCUGGUGCUCAUCACAACAGGUGCACUCCUUAAGCCCCAUCACCCGUUUGAUCCAUCCCUCCUGCCCUCCUCCUCUCUGGUAAUCAUCCAUUUCUUCUCUAUAGUUAAGGGUCUGUUUCUUGGCUUGCCUUCCCCUCCCUCUCUCUCUUUUUUUUUCCUUUGCUCACUUGUUUUGUUUCUUAAAUUCCAGAUAUUAUAGCAGCAUUAUCUCUAAUAGCCUAAUUAUGGAAGCAGCUCAAGUAUCCAUCAAUUGAUGAAUGGAUAAAGAAGAUGUGGAUUAUUACUCAGCCGUAAAAGAGAAUGAAAUCUUGCCAUUUGCAACAACAUGGGUGCAGCUAAAGAAUAUUAUGCUAAGUGAAAUCAGUCGGAGAAAGAGAAAUACCAUAUGAGUUUUUAGAGUCCACCUGCCUCUGGAUCUCCAAGUGGAGAUGAAAGGUCAGACUGUCCCUUAAGCCAUGACCUCUCACCAUCCUGAGGUCCGAAUCCCUGUGCUCUGACCCUGCACUAAAGAGAUUGCUAUUGAUACAGUUUUAUAUUGAUACAGUUUAGACUAUUAAGUAGUCAUUAAUAACCAAUUUCACUUACCCACAUUUAUCAGGUCCCAGGCACCGUGCUAAAGCUUAACCUACCUUCUCUCAUUUUUCCCUAUUUAAUUCCCCACUCACCUUUCAGAUCUUAACUGUCCCUCCUUAGGGACAUCUUUCUCAACUCCAGUGCCUCUGCUCCCCUAGUCCUCAAUAACAUGGUCUACUUGGACCACAAACCUUCCCUUUGAGGCACUUACCUCAGUUGACAUUUUGGUUUCUUUUUGCCUUUGUUAAAUUAAUGUCUGUCUCCCACAGGAGAAGAGAACUCAAUGCUACACACUCACUGCCAUGUCCCACACCAAGCACAGGGUCCGGCAUAAAUAAAAUUUCAAUAGAAUACUUAUUGAAGGGGAUU